rnacentral:rRNA from 1 species
UACGGAGGGUGCAAGCAUUGAUCGGAAUUACUGGGCGUAAAGGGCGCGUAGGCGGCAGUAUAAGUUGGAUGUGAAAUUCCGUGGCUCAACUACGGAACUGCAUUCAAAACUGUACAGCUCGAGCAUAGUUAGGGAAAACGGAAUUCCACGUGUAGCGGUGAAAUGCGUAGAUAUGUGGAAGAACACCGGUGGUGAAGACGGUUUUCUGGACUAUAGCUGACGCUGAGGCGCGAAAGCUAGGGGAGCAAACAGG